rnacentral:tRNA from 1 species
GGAGGAAUACCCAAGUCCGGCUGAAGGGAUCGGUCUUGAAAACCGACAGGAGCUUAACAGCUCGCGGGGGUUCGAAUCCCUCUUCCUCCG